AGACGGAGUUCUUCGGAACAAGACUUUUUAACUUAGUGGCGGACGGGUGAGUAACACGUGAGCAACCUGCCUUUCAGAGGGGGAUAACGGCUGGAAACGGUCGCUAAUACCGCAUGAUAUAUUGAAUCGGCAUCGGUUCGAUAUCAAAGGAGCAAUCCGCUGAAAGAUGGGCUCGCGUCUGAUUAGAUAGUUGGUGGGGUAACGGCCUACCAAGUCGACGAUCAGUAGCCGGACUGAGAGGUUGAACGGCCACAUUGGGACUGAGAUACGGCCCAGACUCCUACGGGAGGCAGCAGUGGGGAAUAUUGCACAAUGGGGGAAACCCUGAUGCAGCAACGCCGCGUGAAGGAAGACGGUUUUCGGAUUGUAAACUUCUUUUCUUAGUGAAGAAGCAAGUGACGGUAGCUAAGGAAUAAGCAUCGGCUAACUACGUGCCAGCAGCCGCGGUAAUACGUAGGAUGCGAGCGUUAUCCGGAAUUACUGGGUGUAAAGGGAGCGCAGGCGGGACUGCAAGUUGGAUGUGAAAUGCCGCAGCUUAACUGCGGAGCUGCAUCCAAAACUGUAGUUCUUGAGUGGAGUAGAGGCAAGCGGAAUUCCGAGUGUAGCGGUGAAAUGCGUAGAUAUUCGGAGGAACACCAGUGGCGAAGGCGGCUUGCUGGGCUCUAACUGACGCUGAGGCUCGAAAGUGUGGGGAGCAAACAGGAUUAGAUACCCUGGUAGUCCACACUGUAAACGAUGAUAGCU
rnacentral:rRNA from 1 species